GCGAACCUUCCUGUUCUUCGUUUCUCUUCGAUCGGCAGAGGGACGAUUCAGUUUCUGUAACUGUGUGUUGUUAUAUUAAUAAAGGUAACACACAUAACCAUAUCUCCAAAAGGCUAUAAAAAGGCUAGCUUUCCUUCCCUCAAAACCAUACAUCACCAUAUCUCCAAAAUUUUCAAUCUUUCCUUCAUUUCUCGCAUACCCAUCUCCAAAAAUCUCAGCUUGAACUGGAUGAUGUUAAUCGAUUGCUGAUUAACUUUCCCUCACGUUGAUUUUUUUUCCUGUUAACCCGCCAUGGCCGCAAGCUUUGAGGUCAAACCCCUCCAGAAAAACCGCUUCACUCACCCUCUCUCGCUUUCAAUACUUCAUCUUGAACCGUCUCCACGCCGCGACUCCAACCACCACCGUAACAAGAUCUCUUCUCUCAAACCUAUGGGAGGAGAGAGAGAGGUGUUACGCUACAAAUUGAGGUGCGGAGAAGGUGAACGGUGUAAAGUCUGCUCUUUUGUGCUCUCAAGGAGACCCACAGGAUCUCUGGCAGCCUCCCGGAGAUGGAGUUUCCCUUCGGUUUAAUCCUGGUCGUGGCGGUGGUGGAACAGGGUCGGAUUCGAAAGACAAUUCUUGGGGUGUAUUAUAUUUCAGUCAAAUGUCAUUCAUGUUAUGAAUCUGAGCUUCAAGACACUAAUGAGAUCAUGAGAGUUUGAAGAAGUAUUUAAUAGACCUGGUGAACCAAGGAAAGAUUCUGAGUGUGAAGGGAGCUUCUUUGGAUGGGCUUGCUUUAAAGUUAAAAUUUUCUGAACGCAAAUGGAGUGUGACGGUUGGGAAAGAUUCAGAAAAUCAUCAACAAAGCUACAUGUGAAAAGUUAGCUGUUGAGGCAACCAAGAAAGAACUAAGACAGUCAGUCCAUUUGGCAGACUUACAAAGAGGAAUGCUGGACAUUAUACAUGUUAUGGUUCUGUUUAGUUCAUGGCAAAACACGAAAAAGCAUUGUGGAGCACCCAUUUCCACCUACAUCAUUUGGUCAUUCAGUGGGCUAAAGAGGGAGAAUAGCCACACGCGUUCUGUUGAAAAUGUUGUGUUGACCAGAGUGUAAUAAGUCUCCACUUUGAUUGAUACUGAGUGUAGACUUUCUAGAGUGUAGUUUGCACAUGUCUGAACUUUGACACCC